AUACCUUUCUCGGCCUUUUGGCUAAGAUCAAGUGUAGUAUCUGUUGUUAUUUGUUUAAUAUCUGAUAUGUGGGCCAUCGGCUCACACGAUAUUAAAUUUAUUUUUUUAGGGUGAAUAUCCAUCAAAGUAGCUUGCUACUUGGGUCUUCAAGUGUCGCACAUGCAUUGCACUAUUGCACUGGCCUACGCACCGCAC